CAAUAGCGUAUAUUAAAGUUGUUGCGGUAAAAAAGCUCGUAGUUGGAUUUCUACCGAAGAUAGCCGGUCGGGUCUUCGACCUUGUAUCUGGUUUUGUCUUUGGUAUCCUCAUAGGGAACGUUUCUGCGCUUUAUUGCGUGGUGCGGUAUCUAUGACUUUUACUUUGAGGAAAUUAGAGUGUUCACGGCAGGCAAACGCCUUGAAAAUAUUAGCAUGGAAUAAUAACAUAGGAUCUUCGUCCUAUUUUGUUGGUUUCUAGGGCUAAGAUAAUGAUUAAUAGGGAUAAUUGGGGGCAUCUGUAUCAACGCGUCAGAGGUGGAAUUCUUGGAUUGCGUUGCGACAAACUACUGCGAAAGCAUUUGCCAAGGAUGUUUUCAUUGA
rnacentral:rRNA from 1 species